AAGCAGGACACGUCCUCGGCUGAUGGCAGACGGGGCUCCAGUGAGGACACCAGGGAAGGGGCUCCUCUUUUGGAGACUGAUUUAACUGUUGAAGAGUUUGGGCCAGGUUUAUUAAAGUUUCCAGGUUACUGAAAUUCAGGGAGUAUUUGCAUUAUCAAACAUUGUGACAACAAGUGUCUUGGGAUCUUGCAAAGCUGUAUUGUUAAGUAAGUCAACAAGCUUGGCAUGUGUGGAAGAUGAAAGAGAAGCAGGCUUCAAAACAGAUAAUGAAUUUCUUCUAACUCGUCUGGAGACUGAAGAGCCAUAAUUCUGAUUGAUCAGAUACGGUCUGUUUCAGAGACGCACCAGAUGUGAUCCAGAUUUUAAAUAGAUGCCGCUACUGUCAAAAUGCAUUCGCUCCCUCCUGGUAUAACAAAGUGAAGUCCAUGUGUCUGGAGUUGUGCACUUUUUUUAGUGGUAAUAACAGUUAACAUCAACAAUAAGCUUUGUCUCAUUAGUAUCACAUAAUCCCUACUACCAAGUCCCCAGUUUCUGGUCCCCAUAUUAUCUGCCAUGGAAAAAAUAAAGACCACAGCAGGAGCUAAGAAGGUCAGUGCAUUCUCAGGGUAAUCAGCUGUAGUAAAUUCAAUUCUGACAAGACAAGGCUUGCAAAUGUCUGGGGAAUUAAGGGAUCAUCUAUAAUUUAAUAUGUUGAGUGGGAAAGUGUCCUUCCAAACAUUUAUUAAUUACAGAUGAGGAUGCGUAUGGUGGUCAUCCUUGGAGAGCUUUCUUCUGAAACAAAGCAAGAAAAAUACAUUU